rnacentral:tRNA from 1 species
GCAAGCGUAGCUUAAAAUCAAAGCAUAACAUUGAAGUCGUUAAGAUGGACCCUAGAAAGUCCUGCAAGCA